ACAAACUUGGUCAUUUAGAGGAAGUAAAAGUCGUAACAAGGUCUCCGUAGGUGAACCUGCGGAGGGAUCAUUAAUGAAUGACCUUUUUUUUGGUCUUCAAACUUUCAAAACCUGUGGACAUUUAAAAAUGUGUUUCGGCGUUUCGGCGUCGUAUUUAUGCUAUAUCAUAUAUAUAUAUAUAUAUUGAAGUCUGGAUUAUAUAUAAAAAUAAUUAAAACUUUCAACAAAGGAUCUCUUGGCUCUUGCAUCGAUGAAGAACGCAGC
rnacentral:misc_RNA from 1 species